CCGUGCGAGUUCGGGCGCUGGCCACCGUCACCUUCCUCGCCCAGAAGAGACCCAGGGCUUUGCUGCGUGGGAACCUCCUCUGCCUGGUCCUCAGGGGGCUCCUGGUCCCUCUUUGCGCCGAAAUCCGCCCGGAAAAUCCCGAUCCCGAGGAAAUUUGGGAUGAAGAUGAAGGGGGACAGGGGCCCUGCCCCCGCCACGCCGCCGCCCAGGCUUUGAACGCUUUGGCUCAGGGGUUGCCCCCGGAAAAACUGCUGAAAGAAGUG